CGUGUGUGUGAAGAAGGCCUUCGGGUUGUAAAGCACUUUCAAUGGGGAAGAAGUUAAAAUUGCUAAUAUCAAUUUUAAUUGACGUUACCCAUACAAGAAGCACCGGCUAACUCCGUGCCAGCAGCCGCGGUAAUACGGAGGGUGCGAGCGUUAAUCGGAAUUACUGGGCGUAAAGAGUACGUAGGCGGUUUGUUAAGUCAGAUGUGAAAUCCCUGAGCUUAACUUAGGAACUGCAUUUGAAACUGAUGAGCUAGAGUUUCGUAGAGGGAGGUAGAAUUCCAGGUGUAGCGGUGAAAUGCGUAGAGAUCUGGAGGAAUACCAGUGGCGAAGGCGGCCUCCUGGACGAAAACUGACGCUCAGGUACGAAAGCAUGGGGAGCAAACAGGAUUAGAUACCCUGGUAGUCCAUGCCGUAAACGAUGUCGAUUUGAAGGUUGUAACCAUUGAGUUGUGGCUUUCGGAGCUAACGCGUUAAAUCGACCGCCUGGGGAGUACGACCGCAAGGUUAAAACUCAAAUGAAUUGACGGGGGCCCGCACAAGCGGUGGAGCAUGUGGUUUAAUUCGAUGCAACACGAAGAACCUUACCUACUCUUGACAUCCAAAGAACCGUAUAGAGAUAUAUGGGUGCCUUAGGGAACUUUGAGACAGGUGCUGCAUGGCUGUCGUCAGCUCGUGUUGUGAAAUGUUGGGUUAAGUCCCGCAACGAGCGCAACCCUUAUCCUUUGUUGCCAACGAGUCAAGUCGGGAACUCAAAGGAGACUGCCGGUGAUAAACCGGAGGAAGGUGAGGAUGACGUCAAGUCAUCAUGGCCCUUAUGAGUAGGGC
rnacentral:rRNA from 1 species